GAUAGCAGUGACCACAAAACACAUGUCAAAAGCAGGACGUACAGACAUGCUGACGCUGAUGGCCAUGCGCUGGAAUCAGCAAAAAGUCAGCAACUUGGCCACCUCACUGUCCCGCAGAUAUCUGAAGACCACAAAAGCUCUGGAAAAGCAAUUGCAGAACCUGGAGUCCAUGAAGGCUGAGUUGAC